ensembl:lncRNA
GUGAACUGCAGCUUGGAGGAGAAAGUGAUUGUUGCCGUUUGCGACUCCCGGAGCUCUUUAUAUAAAGGCUACGGCAAUCCAGGGGGAUUUGAUGUCCUGUUAUCGAGCCGCAGCUGACUCGAUGUGUCUGGGGACCUCGCAUUCCCCCGUAGGGUCCCUAGGAACACGGACAAGCUGACCGUAGCGGAAGUCUUGAAUUUGGGUCCCAGGCAGAGGGUGGGCGUGAUCGAGGUCAGGGUGGUGCAGGUCCUGGAGAACAGGGUGGUGCAGGUCCUGGAGAACAGGGUGGUGCAGGUCCUGGAGAACAGGGUGGUGCAGGUCCUGGAGAACAGGGUGGUGCAGCUCCAAGGAGCGCCAGUGGAGCUCAAAUGCUUUGAGGUGUGCGGUGGGACGGGAUUGACUGUGUGGGACCGGCUGAUCCUAUCGGUGCAGGUGGGGAGGUGCUACUCCUUUCAGGCUUUGAGCACCAGGAUGGAUGCUAACCGGACAGUGUUGACCCCCACACCCUCCUCAGUCGUCACCGUCAUUGCGGGUAUUGGGCAGCCAUCUUCCCUUCUAUUGAUGACCGUGAAGGCUAAGGAGACUCUGCGCGGGCUGGUGUCUGCGGUCAACAUCAUUGCGAAGCCCAGGUGCCCGAGAUGCCACACCUGCCAGGACAACCUGGGUGUGAAGCUGUCCACUCACUGCUGCGAGCGCUGAUCCAGCGCACAGCCUCGUAUUUGGCGACGUACUCGGGCAAGCUUGUUGUGGUAGCCAGAGACGGGGAGGAGUGAUCCAUGGUCCUGACAAACUCAGCGGUUUCUGCGUUUGUCAGGGAUCAACCACUAUUAACUUCUGCCCAUGACGCUCAAGCCCUGGAGGAGAUACUAAUUGUAAUGCCUGAGCUGGAGGUGACAUUCAAUUCUGAAGGGCUGGUUGAGCGCUUGGCUACUCCUGCUGUUGCUGAGGGGGAGGCCCCAGUUCACAGCGGCCAGGGCAAUGUCCCGGAUGCGGAGGAGGCGUCGACCUCCUACGUAAGGGACUCUGAGGCUGUGCUACAUGUGGAUGAUGAGGGCCUGGCAGAAUUGUUUGACGAGCAUUGACGUUUACCUUUGUUGUGUGGUUGUGUUGUUUUUCAAUUUUGGCACUUAUACUAACUAAUAAAGUUUGUUUUGUUUUAAGCAAUUGUUUAGUCUUAAAAAGGGAAUUGGUCAGUUAGACUAAGCUGUGCAGGUAAUGGUAAAGUCUUUAUGGUCUAAAUAUUGAAUUUAAAGGAAGCCUUUCUUUCUCAUGGCGGUUAAGAAUCUUGUUGGUGAACGAACACACACACAAACAAGUAAAUGGUAGGGAUGGGCGUGAGGAAUCGAUUACUAGAGUACUCCUCGUUACAAAUGAACUCGGUUGGUGGACAGGCAAACUCGAGUUUGCAUCUACACAAAUAAACAAAGUUUUCUGAAGCAAAUGUCAAUUGUCUGUGCGGUGCCACUAACGCAUGCCGUGGGCACAAAGCAAAUGAAAUGUAUCAAUUUUAUGUGUGGCGCGUGCCGUGCCGUGUGCAGGCACGCCAGAAUUCAAAAAGUUAGAGAUGGUGGUUAAAGCAAAGCGCAGCGAAGAAUUGAAAUACUUUAAAGAAAUAGGAGAUCAUAAGUUGAAAUGUAAAAUAUGCCAAGCGAAAUCGAGCUACCAGAGUACUACAAGUACUAUGCGGCAACAUAUGCUCCUGAAACACAGCGGUGAGUUCGGGAAAGCAGACCCGCAGCAACCAAGUGUGUCGGCUAUUUUCACCGCCGCAAGACGCAGCCGUAAUCCCGGCCGUGUAGAGAAGAUCACAACGCUGAGUAUUUCCAUAGUCCAUUUGCUGCCGUUUUAUUUGCAGCUUUAAAUUAUUUGCAAUGGUUAGGCUACUUGUUUUUGUUUAUUUUAAACCGUUACAGGCCUUGGUUCGACGUGAUUUAAAUUGUG